UGGGGAAUAUUGGACAAUGGGGGCAACCCUGAUCCAGCAACGCCGCGUGAAUGAAGAAGGCCUUCGGGUUGUAAAGUUCUUUUGCGUGGGAACAAAAGCAAUGUGCUAAUACCACAUUGCGUUGAUAGUACCACGAGAAUAAGCACCGGCUAACUACGUGCCAGCAGCCGCGGUAAUACGUAGGGUGCAAGCGUUAAUCGGAAUUACUGGGCGUAAAGGGUGCGCAGGCGGCUAUAUAAGUCAGAUGUGAAAUACCUAAGCUUAACUUGGGGGGUGCAUUUGAUACUGUAUGGCUAGAGUUAGUCAGAGGGGGGUAGAAUUCCUGGUGUAGCAGUGAAAUGCGUAGAGAUCAGGAGGAAUACCAAUGGCGUAGGCAGCCCCCUGGGACAAAACUGACGCUCAUGUACGAAAGCGUGGGAAGCAAACAGG
rnacentral:rRNA from 1 species